CAGCAGCCGCGGGAAUACGAAGGGUGCAAGCGUUAAUCAGAAUUACUGGGCGUAAAGCGCACGUAGGCGGAUGUUUAAGUCAGAGGUGAAAGCCUGGAGCUCAACUCCAGAACUGCCUUUGAUACUGGGCAUCUUGAGUCCGGAAGAGGUAAGUGGAACUGCGAGUGUAGAGGUGAAAUUCGUAGAUAUUCGCAAGAACACCAGUGGCGAAGGCGGCUUACUGGUCCGGUACUGACGCUGAGGUGCGAAAGCGUGGGGAGCAAACAGGAUUAGAUACCCGAGUAGUCCCUGUCUCUUAUAC
rnacentral:rRNA from 1 species